AGAUUGAACGCUGGCGGCAGGCCUAACACAUGCAAGUCGAGCGGUAGAGAGGUGCUUGCACCUCUUGAGAGCGGCGGACGGGUGAGUAAUGCCUAGGAAUCUGCCUAGUGGUGGGGGAUAACGUUCGGAAACGGACGCUAAUACCGCAUACGUCCUACGGGAGAAAGCGGGGGACCUUCGGGCCUCGCGCCAUUAGAUGAGCCUAGGGUCGAUUAGCUAGUUGGUGAGGUAAUGGCUCACCAAGGCGACGAUCCGUAAUGGUCUGAGAGGAUGAUCAGUCACAUGGAAUGAGACACGGUCCAGACCUCCGUACGGGACGGCAGCGAAGGUGGGGAAUAGUUAGGACGAAGU
rnacentral:rRNA from 1 species